UUGAGAGUACCCGACCCCCUCCUUUUUUCCGCCUUUCUGCGAUAGGGGCUGAGUGUACUUCCUCGUCUACCCGCGUUCAUCCGUGGGUGAGGACUAUUAUUUGAAUACUUGCCCCCUCCUUUUUUCCGCCUUUCUGCGAUAGGGGCUGAUUGUGCUUCCUCGUCUACCCGCGUUCUUCCGUGGGUGAGGAUUAUUAUUUUAAUACUUGCCCCCUCCUUUUUUCCGCCUUUCCGCGAUAGGGGCUGAUUGUGCUUCCUCGUCUACCCGCGUUCUUCCGUGGGUGAGGACUAUUAUUUGAAUACUUGCCCCCUCCUUUUGCUCGCCUUUCUACGACUGAGGCUAGGCGUGACUCCUCGUCUACCUACGUUCAUCCGUAGGUGAGGAUUGUUACUUGAGUACGUCCCUCGUUUAACCUACGUUCUUCCGUAGGUGAGGUUUACUCUUGAGUACGUUCCUCGUCUAACCUACGUUCUUCCGUAGGUGAGGUUUACUCUUGGACACUUGCCCCUCUGUCUAUAUUUUUGUAGAAUGGGGUGUGUGUUUAGCCGACAUGUUCCCCGUCUAACCUACGUUCUUCCGUAGGUGGAGUUCAUUUUUGCCGAUGUGUUCCCCGUCUAACCUACGUUCUUCCGUAGGUGGGGUUCACUUUUGAGUAUGUCCCUCGUCUAACACUACGUUUCCGUAGGUGAGGUUCGCUCUUUGCCGCUGCGUUCCCCGUCUAACCUACGUUCUUUCGGAGGUGGGGUUUAUCUUUGUCGAUGUGUUCCCCGUCUAACCUACGUUCUUCCGUAGGUGGGGUUCACUUUUGAGUAUGUCCCUCGUCUAACACUACGUUUCCGUAGGUGAGGUUCACUCUUCGCCGUUGCGUUCCCCGUCUAACCUACGUUCUUCCGUAGGUGGGGUUCACCUUUGUCGAUGUGUUCCCCGUCUAACCUACGUUCUUCCGUAGGUGGGGUUCACUUUUGAGUACGUCCCUCGUCUAACACUACGUUUCCGUAGGUGAGGUUCACUCUUGCCUUAGAUGGGAUACGCAUUCUGACUCUGUUACCAUUAAGACUUUCUCUAUCCACGUUCUUCCGUAG
rnacentral:lncRNA from 1 species